rnacentral:rRNA from 1 species
GACGAACGCUGGCGGCGUGCUUAACACAUGCAAGUCGAACGGUAAGGCCUCUUUCGGGGGGUACUCGAGUGGCGAACGGGUGAGUAACACGUGAGUAACCUGCCCUUGACUUUGGGAUAACUUCAGGAAACUGGGGCUAAUACCGGAUAGGAGCUCCUGCUGCAUGGUGGGGGUUGGAAAGUUUCGGCGGUUGGGGAUGGACUCGCGGCUUAUCAGCUUGUUGGUGGGGUAGUGGCUUACCAAGGCUUUGACGGGUAGCCGGCCUGAGAGGGUGACAGGCCACAUUGGGACUGAGAUACGGCCCAGACUCCUACGGGAGGCAGCAGUGGGGAAUAUUGCACAAUGGGUGGAAGCCUGAUGCAGCAACGCCGUGUGCGGGAUGACGGCCUUCGGGUUGUAAACCGCUUUCGCUCAUGACGAAGCUUUGUGUGACGGUAGUGGGUAAAGAAGCACCGGCUAACUACGUG